rnacentral:rRNA from 1 species
UGGGGAAUAUUGCACAAUGGGCGAAAGCCUGAUGCAGCAACGCCGCGUGAGUGAUGAAGGCCUUCGGGUUGUAAAGCUCUGUCUUUUGGGACGAUAAUGACGGUACCAAAGGAGGAAGCCACGGCUAACUACGUGCCAGCAGCCGCGGUAAUACGUAGGUGGCAAGCGUUGUCCGGAUUUACUGGGCGUAAAGGAUGCGUAGGCGGAUUUUUAAGUGAGAUGUGAAAACCCUAAGCUUAACUUGGGGACUGCAUUUCAUACUGGAAAUCUAGAGUGCGGGAGAGGAGAAUGGAAUUCCUAGUGUAGCGGUGAAAUGCGUAGAGAUUAGGAAGAACACCAGUGGCGAAGGCGAUUCUCUGGACCGUAACUGACGCUGAGGCAUGAAAGCGUGGGUAGCAAACAGGAUUAGAUACCCUGGUAGUCCACGCCGUAAACGAUGAGUACUAGGUGUAGGAGGUAUCGACCCCUUCUGUGCCGCAGUUAACACAAUAAGUACUCCGCCUGGGAAGUACGAUCGCAAGAUUAAAACUCAAAGGAAUUGACGGGGGUCAUAGCUGUUUUCCU